rnacentral:lncRNA from 1 species
AUGAAACUGUAUUAUAAACUGCCUCUUCCAGAAUCUUCCUGGAACAGAUUUAGUUUGAAGUGUUACAGAAACAACUUCUGUCCAAACACAAGGCAGAAUGACAGUGGAUAUGGAAAAUCUCAUGAGCUUUGGCAGUCAGGUGAUGCUGCAGCAAGGCAUUGCUCAUCCUCGGUGUCAGAAGCAGUUUUCAGAGAUGGGAAUGUUCUCAGAAACAAGAAUUAAAUUGCCUCUGAGUCACAGAGCUGGUCAUCAUCGGGUUGCAUACGUGCCUACACAGUGCUGGGACUGAAUUCGUAUAGGACACACAUUAAUUCACUGGCUCAAAGACUUGGUGUUAAGUGUCAAAUAAACCAUGUGUGUUAUUACA